rnacentral:lncRNA from 1 species
ACAAACAAUCCAAGGAAGACGGCUGAAAUUCAAUGUCUAAGAGUUUCUGCACUAGGUCAUUGCUUGGUGUCCACUGCCUGCAGCAGAAGGGCUCACCAUUGUGUUUCGGUGCUCGCUCCCAACCAGCCCUGCUGUUUCGGCUCCAAGCAGAGAGGAGGAGGCCCUGCCUGUCUCCAUGACAACCGUGUGUCCUCCGGGAAGCUGCUCAGAGCUAAAGACCU